rnacentral:rRNA from 1 species
UACGUAGGGGGCAAGCGUUGUCCGGAAUCAUUGGGCGUAAAGAGCGUGUAGGCGGCCCGAUAAGUCCGCCGUGAAAGUCCAGGGCUCAACCCUGGAAUGCCGGUGGAAACUGUCGGGCUGGAGUCCGGAAGAGGCGAGUGGAAUUCCUGGUGUAGCGGUGAAAUGCGCAGAUAUCAGGAGGAACACCAAUGGCGAAGGCAGGUCUCUGGGCCACUACUGACGCUGAGAAGCGAAAGCAUGGGGAGCGAACAGG